rnacentral:rRNA from 1 species
GAUGAACGCUGGCGGCAUGCCUAAUACAUGCAAGUCGAGCGAACAGAUGAAGUGCUUGCACUUCUGACGUUAGCGGCGAACGGGUGAGUAACACGUAGGGAAUCUACCUAUAAGCGGGGGAUAACAUUCGGAAACGGGUGCUAAUACCGCAUAAUAUCUUCUUCCGCAUGGAAGAAGAUUGAAAGACGGCUCUGCUGUCACUUAUAGAUGACCUUGCGGUGCAUUAGUUAGUUGGUGGGGUAACGGCCUACCAAGACGAUGAUGCAUAGCCGACCUGAGAGGGUGAUCGGCCACAUUGGGACUGAGACACGGCCCAAACUCCUACGGGAGGCAGCAGUAGGGAAUCUUCCGCAAUGGGCGAAAGCCUGACGGAGCAAUGCCGCGUGUGUGAAGAAGGCCUUCGGGUCGUAAAACUCUGUUAUAAGAGAAGAACAAAUUGUAGAGUAACUGCUACAGUCUUGACGGUAUCUUAUCAGAAAGCCACGGCUAACUACGUGCCAGCCGCCGCGGUAA